AACACAUGCAAGUCGAGCGGAAACGAGUUAUCUGAACCUUCGGGGAACGAUAACGGCGUCGAGCGGCGGACGGGUGAGUAAUGCCUGGGAAAUUGCCCUGAUGUGGGGGAUAACCAUUGGAAACGAUGGCUAAUACCGCAUAAUGCCUUCGGGCCAAAGAGGGGGACCUUCGGGCCUCUCGCGUCAGGAUAUGCCCAGGUGGGAUUAGCUAGUUGGUGAGGUAAAGGCUCACCAAGGCGACGAUCCCUAGCUGGUCUGAGAGGAUGAUCAGCCACACUGGAACUGAGACACGGUCCAGACUCCUACGGGAGGCAGCAGUGGGGAAUAUUGCACAAUGGGCGCAAGCCUGAUGCAGCCAUGCCGCGUGUAUGAAGAAGGCCUUCGGGUUGUAAAGUACUUUCAGCAGUGAGGAAGGUUCAUGCGUUAAUAGCGUAUGGAUUUGACGUUAGCUGCAGAAGAAGCACCGGCUAACUCCGUGCCAGCAGCCGCGGUAAUACGGAGGGUG
rnacentral:rRNA from 1 species